GAUGAACGCUGGCGGCGUGCCUAACACAUGCAAGUCGAACGAAGGACUUUGGGUGAUUUUCUUCGGGGGUUAUUUUUUGCUGGCUGAGUUGCGGUCGGGUUAGUAACAAGUGGGUAACAUGCCUUCUAAUGCGGGAUGAUAUUGGGAAACGAAAGCUAUUACGCCUUAAGAUCACGGCGUGGCAGGAUGCAUUGUUGAAAACUCAGUUGGUAUACGAUGGGCCCGCGUUGGAUUGGCUAGUUGGGGAGGUAACGGCCAACCAAGGCGACGAUCCAUAGCCGAUCUGAGAGGGUGACCGGCCACACUGGGACUGAGACACGGCCCAGACUCCUACGGGAAGCAGCAGUGGGGAAUAUUGCACAAUGGGCGAAAGCCUGAUGCAGCGACGCCGCGUGAGCGAUGAAGUAUUUCGGGAUGUAAAGCUCUAUUAGCAGGGAAGAUAAUGACGGUACCUGACUAAUAAGCCCCGGCUAACUACGUG
rnacentral:rRNA from 1 species